AGCAGCCGCGGUAAUUCCAGCUCCAAUAGCGUAUAUUAAAGUUGUUGCAGUUAAAAAGCUCGUAGUUGAAUUUCGGGAUUGACACAUCGGUCGUGCCUUAAGGGGUAUGAACUGGUGUAGUCAAUUUCUCACCUUCUGGAGAACCGCGAUGCCCUUAAUUGGGUGUCGCGGGGAACCAGGACCUUUACUUUGAAAAAUUAGAGUGUUUAAAGCAGGCAUUUUGCUUGAAUACAUUAGCAUGGAAUAAUAAAAUAGGACGGCAUGAUUCUAUUUUGUUGGUUUCUAGGAUCACCGUAAUGAUUAAUAGGGAUAGUUGGGGGCAUUAGUAUUCAAUUGUCAGAGGUGAAAUUCUUGGAUUUAUUGAAGACUAACUACUGCGAAAGCAUUUGCCAAGGAUGUUUUCAUUAAUCAAGAACGAAAGUUAGGGGAUCGAAGACGAUCAGAUACCGUCGUAGUCUUAACCAUAAACUAUGCCGACUAGGAAUCAGACGAUGUUAAUCUUUUAAUGACUCGUUUGGCA
rnacentral:rRNA from 1 species